rnacentral:rRNA from 1 species
AGCUCGUAGUUGGAUCUCGGGUUUGGGCCGGCGGUUCGCUUCGCGGCGUUACUGCCGGCGCCGACCUACCUGCCGGUUUGCGUGCGGUGCUCUUCGCCGAGUGCCGCGCGUGGCCGGAACGUUUACUUUGAAAAAAUUAGAGUGCUCAAAGCAGGCGUCUCGCCUGAAUAGUAGUGCAUGGAAUAAUGGAAUAGGACCUCGGUUCUAUUUUGUUGGUUUUCGGAGCUCGAGGUAAUGAUUAAGAGGGACGGACGGGGGCAUUCGUAUUACGGUGUUAGAGGUGAAAUUCUUGGAUCGCCGUAAGACGAACUACUGCGAAAGCAUUUGCCAAGAAUGUUUUCAUUAAUCAAGAACGAAAGUCAGAGGUUCGAAGACGAUCAGAUACCGUCGUAGUUCUGACCAUAAACGAUGUCGACCGGCGAUCCGCGGGAGUUGUCCGAAUGACCCCGCGGGC